rnacentral:rRNA from 1 species
AAUUAAUAUUUAUCUUAUAUAAUUUAAAGUUGGAAUUAAUAAAAAUAUUGUAAAUAUAGGUUUUACCUUUUGCAUAAUGGUUAAAUUAUAUAAUAUAGAAUUUUUUAUUUCCCGAAAAAAAAUGAUCUAUAGUAAAAUUUUAAUUUUAGAAAAUAGAAAAAGGUUGUAGUAUAAACCUAUAAAAAUUUUAUUAUUGGAGUGAAAGGCUUUCAAAUUUUUUUAUAUCUGGAUUUAAGGGAAAUGUAUUUAGUACAAUUAAAUAUAAAUAAGUAGUGAUAAGAUUAUUUAUAUUAAAGAAAAAUUAAAUUUUAUAUUAUUUAUUAUAUAAUAAAUUUAAAGUUUUUAAGUAAUAUAAAAAAAUUACUAUAAAAUAGUUUCUUUUAAAUUAAUACCUUUUUAUUUUUAAUUAAUUAUUUUAUAAAAAUAAUUAUGUUUAAAUAAGUAUAAAAUUACUUAAUAAAAACUUAUAAGGAACUCGGCAAAUUCAUUAUUUUUAACUGUUUAACAAAAACAUAGUUUAUUGGGUUAUAUAAUAAAUUAUUUCUGCCCUGUGAUUAAAAUAAUUUAACGGCCGCAGUACUUUGACUGUGCUAAGGUAGCAAAAUAAAUAGGCUUUUAAUUGAAGUCGAGAAUGAAAGAAAAAAUUAAAAUAAACUGUCUUAAAAGUUUUUUUUAGAAAUUAUUAAUAUGGUGAAAAUUCCAUAAUAAAUUUUAAUAGACGAGAAGACCCUAUGAAUUAUUUAUUAAAAAUUUUAUUUAAAAAUUUUAAAUUUUUGUUGGGGCAACAGGAAUUUUUAAAACAAAAGAAGUUCUAUAUUUAAUACAUACUACAUUUGAAGUUUUACUAUAAAUGAAUUUAAUUACCUUAGGGAUAACAGCAUAAUUAUUUUUAUAGAUUAUGACCUCGAUGUUGGAUUAAGAAAUAAUAUAAUUAACAAUUAUAUUAUAAAGUUCUGUUCGAACAAUAUAUUUCUUACAUGAUCUGAGUUCAGACCGGCGUAAGCCAGGUCAGUUUCUAUCUUUUAAUAAUGUUUUUAUUAGUACGAAAGGACCAUAAUAA